GUACACGCUGUGACUAGCAUAUCAAUAAGCGGAGGAAAAGAAACUAACAAGGAUUCCCCUAGUAACGGCGAGUGAAGCGGGAAGAGCUCAAAUUUGAAAUCUUAAAGGGUUUCCCUUUACGAAUUGUAGUUUAAAGAAGUGUUUUCUGUCGAGGUUUUGGUAAAAGUUCUUUGGAAUAGGACAUCAUAGAGGGUGAGAAUCCCGUAUUUGACCUUUACUUUCAACUCUGUGAUACACUUUCAAAGAGUCGGAUUGUUUGGGAAUGCAGUCCAAAAUGGGUGGUAAAUUUCAUCUAAAGCUAAAUAUUGGCGAGAGACCGAUAGCGAACAAGUACCGUGAGGGAAAGAUGAAAAGAACUUUGAAAAGAGAGUUAAACAGUACGUGAAAUUGUCAAAAGGGAAGCGUUUGACACCAGUGUUGUUUUUCUGAAAAUCAAUUAAAGAACUGUUUAUGCUAAGUUGUUUAGACUUUAUCAGCUAACUGUUUAGUUUUGAGCUUUUCUUUAAUGCACUUUUCAGUUAACAAGUCAACAUCAAUUUCUUUUGCUGUAAAAAAGCUUGAGGAAGGUGGCUUGAGAUUCGUCUUAAGUGUUUAUAGCCUCUUGCCUAUGCAGUCGGAGAGAUUGAGGUCUGCAGCGUAGAUCCUUCGGGGCUAAAUGCAUUUGUGCUAAGUUAUAACAUUUUAUAGACAACUUGUUGACUAUGAUUUGUCUUGUAGCUUACUCGCUUAUGUUAUUCUACCUACGCUUAGGAUGUUGAAGUCAUCGUAUCGCGC
rnacentral:rRNA from 1 species